AUGUUUGCAACGGAAAUUGGUUCCCGAACCUCAAUCAGGCACUCGGGAUUAAAAGGGAAUCCGGUCAAAAUCCGGAGCUGUCCCCGCAACUGUAACCCCAUCCCGACCUAUUCGGGAUAGUAAUUUAUCUUCUUCAAGUGCCAUUGUCCCUCCCGUAACUUUCGGAAUUAAGGGGUGAGAAGGCCGGUAAAUUCAGGGAAGCCAGGAGACCUGCCUUUUUCAUCAGUAUUCA
rnacentral:ncRNA from 2 species